AAGAUAACGCAGGUGUCC
rnacentral:snRNA from 1 species